GAUACAAAUACAGGAAAUAAAUCCUUCAAGACUUUUUUGAGGUCUGAUGAGCAAGCUAAAAACAACUGAUGAUAUAUGUCUGGCAUUGGACUCUGGAAAUGGAAGCAUGUUGCUCAUUACAUUCCAGCAAAUAAUAUGGAUCACUUUGGGUGUGUAAAGAAACCUUCAAUGAAAAAGAAAAGAAUGAAAAUAAAUGCAGCCAUCACCGUCCCCCUGGAUCGCUGCAGCGCCCACCACAGGGCAGUAGCGCCCACUUUGGGAAUCACUUGUUUAUAUUCUUGUUGCUGUAUGUUUGAAUAAAAAACUUUUAAAAACUAAACAAAUGUUGUUGAACUUUAUAUUCCAUCAUCCCUGACAACUGACCAGUCUUGUACAGCUGAUGUGCUCCUAAUACAAAAACUUCUCUACAGGGUCACAGGUUUCCAACCUAUAUUGGAGAUCCAGCCCAAAUUCAAGAAGGAAUAGCAGAGAUCUUGAAGUUUCCAAUACAUGAUUGGCAACUGUACAUAAUUUUUUUUUUCGUGUCAGGAGCAACCGGAGUUGCUUCUGGAGUGAGAGAAUUGGCCGUCUGCAAGGACGUUGCCCAGGGGAUGCCUGGAUGUUUUGAUGUUUUACCAUCCU
rnacentral:lncRNA from 1 species